rnacentral:rRNA from 1 species
AGGAGAGUUUGAUCCUGGUUCAGGAUGAACGCUAGCUACAGGCUUAACACAUGCAAGUCGAGGGGCAGCAUUAUCGAAGCUUGCUUUGAUAGAUGGCGACCGGCGCACGGGUGAGUAACGCGUAUCCAACCUUCCCCAUAGUAGGGCAUAGCCAGUAGAAAUGCGGAUUAAUACCCUAUGUAUUCCGAGGAUGACAUCUGAUUCGGAACAAAGGUUCACCGCUAUGGGAUGGGGAUGCGUCUGAUUAGGUAGUCGGCGGGGUAACGGCCCACCGAGCCAUCGAUCAGUAGGGGUUCUGAGAGGAAGGUCCCCCACAUUGGAACUGAGACACGGUCCAAACUCCUACGGGAGGCAGCAGUGAGGAAUAUUGGUCAAUGGGCGAGAGCCUGAACCAGCCAAGUAGCGUGCAGGAAGACGGCCCUAUGGGUUGUAAACUGCUUUUAUACAGGGAUAAAGUCGGGGACGCGUUCCCCGUUUGCAGGUACUGUAUGAAUAAGGACCGGCUAAUUCCGUGCCAGCAGCCGCGGUAAUACGGAAGGUCCGGGCGUUAUCCGGAUUUAUUGGGUUUAAAGGGAGCGCAGGCCGAUUAUUAAGCGUGACGUGAAAUGUAGAUGCUCAACAUCUGAACUGCGUCGCGAACUGGUAGUCUUGAGUGAGUUCGAUGUGGGCGGAAUUCGUGGUGUAGCGGUGAAAUGCUUAGAUAUCACGAAGAAUUCCGAUUGCGAAGGCAGCCCACAAGGCCUUUACUGACGCUAAAGCUCGAAGGUGCGGGUAUCGAACAGGAUUAGAUACCCUGGUAGUCCCCU